AUGAACGCUGGCGGCGUGCCUAAUCCAUGCCAGUCGAGCGAACAGACGAGGAGCUUGCUCCUCUGACGUUAGCGGCGGACGGGUGAGUAACACGUGGAUAACCUACCUAUAAGACUGGGAUAACUUCGGGAAACCGGAGCUAAUACCGGAUAACAUGUUGAACCGCAUGGUUCAACAGUGAAAGACGGUUUUGCUGUCACUUAUAGAUGGAUCCGCGCCGCAUUAGCUAGUUGGUAAGGUAACGGCUUACCAAGGCAACGAUGCGUAGCCGACCUGAGAGGGUGAUCGGCCACACUGGAACUGAGACACGGUCCAGACUCCUACGGGAGGCAGCAGUAGGGAAUCUUCCGCAAUGGGCGAAAGCCUGACGGAGCAACGCCGCGUGAGUGAAGAAGGUCUUCGGAUCGUAAAACUCUGUUAUUAGGGAAGAACAAAUGUGUAAGUAACUAUGCACGUCUUGACGGUACCUAAUCAGAAAGCCACGGCUAACUACGUG
rnacentral:rRNA from 1 species